rnacentral:rRNA from 1 species
UACGUAGGGGUGCAAGCGUUGUCCGGAAUCAUUGGGCGUAAAGCGCGUGUAGGCGGCUGAGUAAGUCUGCUCUGAAAGCCCGGGGCUCAACCCCGGGAGGCGGGUGGAUACUGCUCAGCUCGAGUCCGGAAGAGGAGUGUGGAAUUCCUGGUGUAGCGGUGAAAUGCGCAGAUAUCAGGAGGAACACCAAUGGCGAAGGCAGCACUCUGGGACGGUACUGACGCUGAGACGCGAAAGCGUGGGGAGCAAACAGG